CGAAAUGGCUCAGAAAAGCGGGUUAGAGGCUCUCGAUAUCGGCGCUUUGAGUUCGGAACAGCAGGAGAAACUCAAACAAUUUAAGGUAACAAAAAGAAAAGACGGAAAAUACGAUCAAUACUCGCAUUGCUAACGAAAAAUACCUCCGGUCGCAUCCGGAAGUUGAAAUGAUAUUGGGCGAAUUUCUGAGAGAAAUCCUUUUAAAACG